rnacentral:rRNA from 1 species
CCUACGGGUGGCAGCAGUAGGGAAUAUUGCUCAAUGGGGGGAAGCCUGAAGCAGCCAAGCCGCGUGGGGGAUGAAGGUUCUACGAUUGUAAACUCCUUUUGUUCGAGAAGCUUAUGCCGGUAUCUAACGACUAAUCACCGUCUAACUCCGUGACAGCUGCCGCGGUAAUACGGCGGGUGCAAAGGUUACUCGGAGUCACUGGGCGUAAAGCGUGCGUAGGCGGGGUAAUAAGUCAGAUGUGAAAUGCUGGAGGUUAACUACAGACCUGCAGUUGAAACUGUUACUCUGGAGUGUGGGAGAGGUACGCGGAAUUCUUGGUGUAGGGGUAAAAUGCGUAGAGAUCGAGAGGAAUACUCAUUGCGAAGGCGACCUGCUGGAACAUCACUGACGCUGAUGCACGAAAGCGUGGGUAGCAAACAGGAUUAGAUACCCCAGUAGUC